rnacentral:ncRNA from 1 species
UGCGACGAGUCGAGAAGGCCUCUGAAGACAGAUGUGCCUAAUUGAUUUUGGCGACAUAAGAUAAUGAUACGUAAAUUAUCACCUGCCGGAAUGCAGGAAUGUCGGGCAAGACUUUUGUGGAGAAG